rnacentral:rRNA from 1 species
AAACGGUGGUAAUGCCGGAUGCUCCGACUCCUCGCAUGGGGUGUCGGGAAAGAUUUCAUCGGUAUGGGAUGGGGUCGCGUCCUAUCAGGUAGUCGGCGGGGUAACGGCCCACCGAGCCUACGACGGGUAGCCGGCCUGAGAGGGCGACCGGCCACAUUGGGACUGAGAUACGGCCCAGACUCCUACGGGAGGCAGCAGUGGGGAAUAUUGCACAAUGGGCGCAAGCCUGAUGCAGCGACGCCGCGUGCGGGAUGACGGCCUUCGGGUUGUAAACCGCUUUUGAUCGGGAGCAAGCCUUCGGGUGAGUGUACCUUUCGAAUAAGCACCGGCUAACUACGUGCCAGCAGCCGCGGUAAUACGUAGGGUGCAAGCGUUAUCCGGAAUUAUUGGGCGUAAAGGGCUCGUAGGCGGUUCGUCGCGUCCGGUGUGAAAGUCCAUCGCUUAACGGUGGAUCUGCGCCGGGUACGGGCGGGCUGGAGUGCGGUAGGGGAGACUGGAAUUCCCGGUGUAACGGUGGAAUGUGUAGAUAUCGA